rnacentral:lncRNA from 1 species
GCUGGACAUUUUUUUAAAAAAGUCAACUCAACAAAAUCUGUCUUUGAUCAACUCAACGAAAACUGUCUUUGAUCAACACAUCAUCUCAAUCGUUGGGCGAAACGCCGACGCGGUUAGCUCAUCAAGUGUGCUAUCUGAUCUCGAAAAGGAAACCCGCGGUGGAGGGCACAGAAGUAUGGAGAAAGGGAGGGGGGGGUGAGAAUAAACAAGAUUAG